rnacentral:rRNA from 1 species
GUACGCUAUUCAGAGUUUGAUCCUGGCUCAGAUUGAACGCUGGCGGCAGGCUUAACACAUGCAAGUCGAGCGGGGAAAGGUAGCUUGCUACCUAACCUAGCGGCGGACGGGUGAGUAAUGCUUAGGAAUCUGCCUAUUAGUGGGGGACAACAUUCCGAAAGGAAUGCUAAUACCGCAUACGCCCUACGGGGGAAAGCAGGGGAUCUUCGGACCUUGCGCUAAUAGAUGAGCCUAAGUCAGAUUAGCUAGUUGGUGGGGUAAAGGCCUACCAAGGCGACGAUCUGUAGCGGGUCUGAGAGGAUGAUCCGCCACACUGGGACUGAGACACGGCCCAG